GGAGAGUUGAUUUCAGCUGGUUUUAGUUUUUUGUUUUUUCAAAAAAAAGAAAAGAAAAGAAAGUGCUACGUACGCAAGGGUUGGUAAGAAGUUGUGCUUUUAGGUGGCUGUGAAUCACUUCUCGAGGCUGGAGCUGUCGGCCGUCCGUGAGACACCCAUUCUCAGCCUCAGAUCUCUGUUUCCUGACUCUUUUAUCAGCUUAUACCUCCACAUAUAUCUCUUCCUUAACGCGCUUGCAUCGGAUCGGGUUGUCAUGGCUCUUUUGAAAGUGAGGUUGGACCUUUUGAACAAAUAUUGCAGAAGAGAACGCCAUCAUUCUGAAGCUGAAAAAGCCCAACAUAUAAAGCAGAUACAUGACUUUCAAGAACAUAUUCAAGAGAAAGAGAGACAGCUUAUUGAGUUGCAGGAACAGUUUAUUUGCGUUUAUGGUGUGUACUUCUGUUGUCAUAUUCAAGUGAAAGUUAAAACUUCAAGUUUCCUAAUCCAUGUCAUAGGGUUGCUCAAGAGGCCAUUCAUUAUAAAGAUGAACAAUUGAGGGAACCCAAGCCUGGAUUGCUCGUGUUCAGGAGAUGGAUGCCUUUCAUUCAAAUACUAACCAUUCUAUACGAGCUGAAUUGCGAGAACGUACUGAACAAUAUAACCAGCUGUGGUAUGGAAGUUGUCAAAGACCAGUUUGCAGAGAUGGAAAGACUUCAUCUGCAUGCGUUACAACAGCUCCAUCUUGAGCUUGCUGAUGCACGGGAAAGGAAAGGAGUGGAACUUACAAUGGUGAGUCGCGUUUAUCCCAAACAAAUUCAAAGGACGUAUCUCGGUUUGCACAGAGCAAUGGAAAGCAACUAGAUGGAAACCAACUAGAGCAAUGUUUUCAUCUUUUGCUUCAAUUGACGGUGCAUCAACGCAGGUUGGACAAUGGGAGAAUAGCCAGAACAGCAAAGUAGGUUUAAUUGCUGAAAUACUGGAAGGGUAUUUGACGAGUCAAUUUUUACUAUGAAGGUUUAAUUUAGCGGAUGACUUCUCAGAGUUGAAUAUGCAUAUUUGAAAGACUACUAUACUGUAUAUUCACAUGAAUUUCACAUUUACUUAUCAAAGCAAGUCGAGUCUACAAACAAACAACAGAUAUAUUUCUUUAUGUUUUAAGUUUUCAUAUUUGUGAAUUGAAAAUUUGAAAUGCUUUGGCCAAACAGAGGUAUCAUGAGAGUCAAAAAGCUGUUUGGCCCAAACAAAGCAGCAGAUAUAUUUUUAUUUACCUAUUAGGUUUUUU